AACGAACGCUGGCGGCAUGCCUAACACAUGCAAGUCGAACGAGACCUUCGGGUCUAGUGGCGCACGGGUGCGUACCGCGUGGGAACCUGCCCUUAGGUUCGGAAUAACUCCCCGAAAGGGGUGCUAAUACCGGAUAAUGUCUUCGGACCAAGGAUUUAUCGCCUUUGGAUGGGCCCGCGUUGGAUUAGCUAGUUGGUAGGGUAAAAGCCUACCAAGGCGACGAUCCAUAGCUGGUCUGAGAGGAUGAUCAGCAACGCUGGGACUGAGACACGGCCCAGACUCCUACGGGAGGGAGCAGUGGGGAAUAUUGGACAAGGGGCGAAAGCCUGAUACAGCAACGCCGGGUGAGUGAUGAAGGCCGUAGGGUUGUAAAGCUCUUUUACCCGGGAUGAUAAUGACAGUACCGGGAGAAUAAGCACCGGCUAACUCCGUG
rnacentral:rRNA from 1 species